ACAUCUGGGAGGAUUUUCCUCUCCAUUCUUCACUGACAAGACCAAAAACACAAGAAAUUAGAAAUCCCAUCCCCAUGGCUGAACCCUAGGACGCCAUUUCUGAACCUUCUUCCUCAUCUUCAUUCCCUCAACAUACACAGACUUCACACACUCACUACCCAUUUAGAGAUUUGGCCCUCAUUGAUUCACCCAUUCACUCACCCUGUCUCUCAUGUUUAGAAGUAGUCUGAGGUUACAAAAAUCCUUCAAAAUCAAUAGAGAGCAGAAGUCUGAAAAAUCAAAAAACAAAGGGACUAGGAGGCAAGAGAAAACUAAAAAAAAGUUUCCUGCAUUCAUCUGAUUUUCUAGUGCUUGGCUUCGUAUUUUGUUUUUGGAUUUUUUAAGUUCGUGGUGAGCUUGGAGUGCUGCUGGUUCUGCUGCUAAUUCCGCUUCAAUGAUCGAUUUCUAGUUCGUGAUUAUUUUCGGCCUUUAUUUGGCUUGUUGCAACCCUAUUUCACCUUUGCAGAAUUAGGUACUGACGUCAAUUUAUAUACUCAAAUUUGUUUAAUUUGGAUCCUGAAUAUGUGAUUUGGUUUAUUGAUCUCUGAAGUUAGUUGAUUUUCUUGCCGGUAUCACAUGAAUUUCCAUUAAUUCAGCCUACACCGCAGUCAUCUUUCAUUGUACAUGCUGUUAAUUUGAAAUCUGUGUGAAAUAUGAGAAAAAGUGGUUCCAGGUAGUGAGGAAAUUGUGAUUCUAACACCUUGGGAUUUGAACUGUUUUGGCAAGCAUAUGUGAUAUUCUCAUAGUUUGUUUUAUACGAGUUUUGAAAAUUUUGAAAGUUAAUGUCGCAGUAAAAGCUUUUUCAAUGUAGUAAAUAGGAAGGAUCAGUUUUUUCUUUCAUCAUGUUACUUUUAUUUUCUUUGCUGAUCAUAUUCUGAAAUUAUGCUUCUUUAAUUUGAUUUGAUUUGGACACUACAUAAGCUAAAAGAGUUGACGACAAAGUAUUUUUUUAGUUGAUUUGUUCGACCUUACAACAAUCCUAAACUUAGGAAAUAAUUAAUUCAUAAACACCGUAGCUCGCUUUAGGCGCACAAUUAAAUUAUUACAACUACGGGUACGGUUCCUGUAACGUGGUUGUGAUAACUAGUUUUUAAACUAUAUUAAAAAUAGGAGCACCUAUAGUUUGCCUUUAAAAUAUAUAAUAACCCUUUAAGAAUAAUUUGCGGUGUGCCAUUUUCAUUAAAUAACCCAUGGCCCUUUCUUAAUUAAUUUAAAUCUUUUAGAAAUUGAGGUGCGCCAUUUAGUUGAAAUUUCCAUGGCCCUCGUAAAAGGCGUAGUUGCUUUAGGCGCGUAAUUUAAAUUACUUUCCUAAACUCGGGUGUGCAUUUAUGUGACCCAAAUCCAAAUCUCAAAAACGUUAGAUAAAAUAUGUCAUGGGCCGCAGGUGCAUUUAUGUGACGUGGUUCAAGACGCGUUUUAGAUGACGUUGAAUUUUUCCUAAAAAAAUAAUUAAAUAAAAGCAGUUAAUAAUUUAAAAUUGUACCAUAGGCUAAAACAUGUAUUAAAAUCAGAUAAUAGACCAAUUAUAAUAGUUGAGCGACCGUGCUAGAACCACAAAACUCGGGAAUGCCUAACACCUUCUCCCGGGUUAACAGAAUUCCUUACCCGGAUUUUUGUGUUCGCGGACUGCAAAACAGAGUCAAUCUUUCCUCGACUCGGGAUUUGAACCGGUGACUUGGGACACCAUAAAUCAUCCCAAGUGACGACUCUGAAUUUAAUAAAUCAAUAAUCCCGUUUCGAUUGUCACUUUUAGUUGGAAAAAACUCCUUUAUACUCCCUUCCGGGGGGUGUAGUGAAAAAGGAGGUGUAACAAUCAGAAUACAAUAGAUGUGAUUAACUAGGGGUAUCAAUGGUUCGAUUCGGCCAGUUAUUUUAUAAAAUUUAUACUAUACCAAUUAUUCAGUUAUUCUAUUAUGUAUAACCAAAAUUACAAUUUUCAAAACCAUCUCAAUCAUGUCGGUUUCUCUUCGGUAUCAGUACGGUUCGGUUAGUUUUCGGUAAUUAUUUUAAAUAUCAUGUAAAAGUCACUAGUAUAAGUACAAUGAAAUAACAUAUGUACUUUUAUAGGACUUACUAAAACUCUCUAGACAUUUUUACCGUUUAAAAGGUGAUGAAUUAACAAAAUAUGAAAGAUGGAUAGAGUAUAAAUCCAUCAACUAUUCUACAAACAAAAAAAAUAUUAAUCACACAAGUGGAAAGAUAUUAACCAAGUUGGGUUUCAAGAAUAAAGUCUUUAAAAGAUUAAACAUUCAAUAAGAUAAAUCUAAAUCAUACGAAAGGAAACAUAUUCAAUACAUUAUAGUUUUCUAUACAUAAUCACUACAGUACCUUAUUUCUGGCUAGUGAAUAUGCUGGAAAUAAUCUAGUUUCAAUAAAAGUAGCAUAAUAGAUUUGGAAAUUAGGAUUUUGAGUUUAAUUACUUGUUGGCUUAAUUGUUUCAUAAUUCCAAGGCACAAGAAAAAAUUUAAUGCUUAAACUUAAUAUAUAAAUAUAUUUUUCACAUUGUAAAUUUAUUCGGUACGGUUCGGUAUUUCUUGGUUUAUUUUCAUAAAAUAAAAAACCUACCCUAAUUAUCGGUACGAUUAUAGAUUUAUAUAAAAACCUACGGUUUUGUUAAAAGAAACCUAAAAAUAGGUUCGGUACGGUACGAUUUGGUCAGUUUAGUCGGUUUUUAAAUAUCCAUUGACACCCCUUUGAUUAACGAGUAACUCGAGAGAAAACUCAAUGAGCUACAACUAUAAGAGAUUGAGGGUAUUUAUAGUCUAAGUCCAACAUUCACAUGAUCAUCCCACUUUUGCAUGUUGCUAUCAAUAGUUAACAAUACCGAGAUACUUGCCGUUUGUGAGCGAAAUUUCUAGCAUAGUGGAUACGAGUGGAUCCCUAAUAUUUUGAGGAUAGUUGAGGACCAAGUCAAAUCCUAGUCCAUGACUUUAUUGAUAGAUCCCCGGAACUAUCUUUCGGGCGCUUCACCAAGACACGACCCUUGUUCCAAGGAAGGAGUUACCGAAUCAUAUGUAAUUCAUGUGAGGAAAAACUUCCGCUAUCAUCUUGCCCUCGCGGUAAUACUUAUUCCAAGUGAUAUCGUAUCAUUAUACGAUCUAUCCAUGUGUCAGAGUCAAAUUUUACCAAUAUAGAUAGUACCCCACUUUCCGAGUAAGUCUCCAAAAGUAUCUGAGAAGUGGCAUGAUCUUUGGAAUAUAUAUAGCAGAAAGAGUUUUGGUAGGAUUUACCAUGCAACCGUCAUUACUUUCCAUCUAAAGUUCUAUAAAUGUGGUGAGCAUCAAAGUUCUCAAUAAUGUAUAUCACAACUAACACCAACACCCGUCUAACACCUCAUAAAACCGGAGUCACUAAGUAUAUGAGCAUCUAUAGAAUUACUAAAUGCAAUAUCUGAAAUAAUAAAUACACUAUUUAAUAUGAAUAAACAAUAGAAGAUCUAAAAGAUGGGUGACAUCAAGGUCCGCGGACGAGAGUGCAACACUACCUCGAGUCUCCAUAACCAAGCAAGCUAGUUCGUCCUCUAUGUACCGCUAGGUUCAAUGCCAAAAUCAGUACAAGAAGUGUAGAAGUGCAAUAUGAGUACAACCGAUCCAAUAUACUCCGUAAGUGUCGAGCCUAACCCCAACAAGAUAGUGUCGAGGUUAAGACAAUGCACCUAUAUAUAAACCUUUGCAGUUAAGUAACGAGAAAAUAAAGAGAGAUAUAACAAUUAAGAGAAAAAGAAUAGUAGCAACUAAGAUAGCAAAAUAGGUAACAAUUGAGAUAACAAGUGUAGUAGCAAGAAAAUAUAAUACGAGGAAUAAUGAAAGGAGUAACUAAGGAGUAUAAUGACUAUAACCUCAAAUAACACCAAAUAUGCCUUUCCUAACAAUUCAAGUCCAAGUAAUUUGACAACCCAACCAUGAAACAACAUUGUCAAACUCGCAAUUUGUAUAGUAAAAAGAAGUAAUAAGAGAUAUCAAUCAAAUAGUACGACAUUACCCUUUGUACUUUUACUCUCAUCCUUACAAAUACGAAAAUACCCUUCGUGCAAUACACUCAUCCUCACGAAGUAUAAACAUAACAACAAGCACGGAAACACCCCUUCAUGCAUAUCCACUUUUCCUCACAAGCACGGAUAACACCCUUCGUGCAAUAGUAAUAAUAUAAAAAAGCACGGAAGAAACCUUUGUGCAUAAUUAUUAUUUCUCACAAGUAUGGAAAAACCUUUCGUGCAACUCAAUCUUUCUCACCAAGCAAAAACGUGGAAGUACCCUUCGUGCAUAAUCAUUCUUCCUUACAAGUAUGAAAAUACCCUUCCUGCAAUUCACUCGUUCUCACCAAGCAUAAACAUGUAAAGCAGUACCAAGCAAGCUGGGAAGCACAAACAAUAUCAAGAAGAGUGAUUGAACAUAUCUCACCAAAUGGAAAAUAGUCAUCACUUUGUGCCAAUAGCCAAAUCAACAUUUCAAUAGUCUUACUACCCAAUAUCACAAAAAGCUCAACAUGACGAUUAACAUGAAUAUGAAUCGUCAAAGAAUACACAAUCUAAUUAAAGAAUAAAAGGCAUAAUACAUAAAGCAACAAAAUGUAUAUAAGCUAGUUCUCGUCACAUGUUUAACUCAUAGCAAACAAAUAUACAUUCGUCCCCUUGCAUAUGCGCCGCUCCUAACACAUAUGACACAUAACAAUUAGACACAGUUACAUACUAAUUCCCUCAAAUCAAGGUUAACCAAAUCACUUACCUCUUUCUGGAAUAUUUCAACCUUCCAAAAUUACCUUUCCUUUAGCACACGCCUCCAAACUACUCAAAUCUAGCCAAUUAACACUCAAACUAGUCAAAACAAGCUUUAGAAACUACCCUAGUAUCAAAAAGGUUUGACCUUUGACAUAUUUGGAAAAUUUAAUAAGAAGUCAACCCGGAAUCCAAAUAUGUGAUUUGUUUCGAGAUCCGACCUCAACAAGGUAUAAAUCUCAAAAAGUACAAAGUCAUAAAUUUCUAGCCAAAAACCUGUGAUGGCGCCUAACAUUUCACUUGCUAUGCAAGCUAAUAUUAGCUGGAUUAUUUAACCAAUUUUUAACUAUUCCAAUAGAACAUUAAUUAAAACAAGCCGAAAUAGUUUGAAAUGUUAUAAUAAUAAACACAUGACAAUAUCUAAACAUCUCCCAGAAUCCAGAGUCACGAAGACAUGACCAACUAGAGUACUACGUAUAUAGUCUGUAACAAAGUACAACUGUCUAAGACUAGGUAAGCAGUAAACUGGAGAAGGAAGAGGACUUUAGGGCUGCAGAUGCCAUGCAACUAUACCUCAAGUCUCCAAAUGUGGCUAAAUCCGACCAGAACACCGUUAGACGCUGCUGGGGCCAACACUAGUAUCUACACAAGAAGUGUAAAAGUUUAGCAUGAGUACGAACAACUACAACAACAACAAAUCCACUAUAUUCCAAAAAGCGGGUCUGAGAGGGUAGUAUGUACGCAGACCAUACACCUACAUUUAAAAAGGAGUAGUAUGAGUACAACUGAUCCGAUGUACUCCGUAAAUGUCGAGCCUGACCUCGACGAGGUAGUGACGAGGCUAUGACAGGAAACCUACAAAAAUUCUCUAUAUAUAUAUAUAUAAGAAUGGAAAGUAGGAAAUCACCAAAUAACAUCUUCCGAAAUAAGACAAUGUAACCAAAUAAUCACCAAUCCGGGAAUCAAAUAAGGCAAGGAAUUAAAGAUGACACGACAUCAUUCUACGUGAUUUAACUCUCGUCCUUACCAUGUAAUAUCAUAAAUAAAAUGGCACGACAUUACCCUUCGUGCUUUUACUCUCUGGCACGACAUUACCCUUCGUGCUUUAAUCCUCACAACCUCUCAAUAUAUGAUAAUUCAUGAAAACAAGGCAUGACAACACCCUUCGUGCUUUUCACUCUUCCUCACCAAGCAACAAUACAAAAUUCGAACAACAAAUGCAUGGGGGAAAAAUUUUCACUUCAAUUAUAGUGCUAAGAUAACAAACUCAACUUUCAAAAUUUCCAACAUAUUCAAACCUAAGCAUGAAAAAUGUAGUUAAUGAAAUAAUAUAAUUCAAAGAAACAAUUUUCACCUGCAUGCUUUAACCCAAUGAUAAUUCAUAUAUACUCGUCACCUCAUAUAUACAUCAUCCCCACAUAUAAUACAAGUAGAAAAUAGACCAACAAGUCCUAAUCCCUCAAGUCAAGGUUAACCACGACACUUACUCUGCAACCAAAUCAAUACUCAACCUUGACUUUCCCUCUAGAAGUAGCCUUCAAACCAAUCAGAUCUAGCCAAAUAUAGUUCAAAUAACUCAACUAGGCUCUAGAAACUACCCACGAGUGAAAAAGAUUCAAUCUUAAAUUAUUUUGGAAAAAAUCAACAAAAGUCAACCCCAAGCUCGCUUGUCAAAAUCCGAGAUUCGGACCAAAAUCCAAUUACCCAUUCACCCCUAAGCCCGGUUAUGUAAUUAGUUUCGAAAUCCGAUCUCAAUUUGAGGGUUAAAUCUUAAUUUCUCAAAAUUUCCAAUUUCUACCAUGAAAAAGCAUAGUUAAAAUCAAUGGGUGUUUAUGAAAAUGUAAUGAAACAAGUUAAAAUCUAUUAACUAAUGAAAUAGGGAUGAAAAACCUCUUCAAAAUCGCCUCUAAGAUGAGCUCAAACUUGAAAAUGGUGAAAAGUGAAGAAAAACGCGACUUUGAAAUGUUUAAAUCACUGGGCGUCAGGUGUUCUUCGCAUUCGCAAAGCACAACGACCAAAAGGCCUUCACAUUCGCGAGCUACCCUUCACGUUCAUGUAGGCUUGCUCCCCCUACCUUCACGUUCACGAGACAAUGCCCGUGUUUGCAUAGAGUAACUAGUUGCCUCCCCCUCAAGAAUCAUAGAACUCUUUGCGUUCAUGUGAGGAAAGUCGUGUUCGCGAAGGGUAAGCCCUCCGCUGCAUCACGUUCGCAAACAAUUCCCCGUGUUUGCAAAGAAGAAAUCCUUUCUAGUCCCAAGUUCUCCUUCGCAGUCGCGAGAGUAGCUUUGCGAUUGCGAAGAACAUCACACCAGACACUAGAAAACAGCUGAAACCAACAUUUUCUUAAGUCCGAAAUGGUCCGUAGCCUAUCCGAAACUCAUCCGAGCCCCUUGAGCUCCAAAUAAAAUGUGCACACAAGUGUAAUAACAUCAUACAAACUCGCUCAAGUGAUCAAAACACAAAAAUAACACCUAGAACUAUGAAUUGGACAUCAAAAUGCAUGAAAUUUCAAAGAAAACUCAAAAACUUCUAAAAUCCCAACCGAGCGUCUGAAUCCUAUUAAACAAACUCUGAUUUGCACCAAAUUUUGCAAACAAGUUUCAAAUAAAAAAAUAAACCUAUAUCGAGUACCAGAAGAAAAAUUCGAACUCGGUAACCAUAAAGUCAAUCAACGGUCAAACCUAGGCAAUUUCCAAACCUUCAAAUUACUAGCUUUCGACAAAACAAGUCAAAUCAAGUUGGGGACUUCCGAAUUCAAUUUGGGGCAUACGCCCAAGUCCAAAAUCACGAUAUGAACCCACCGGAUCAUCAAAAUACUGAUCCGGGGUCAUUUAUACAAAAUGUUGACCGUAGUGAACUCAAGUUAUUUUUAAAGCCAAAAUUCUUAUUUUAUUCAAUUUUUCACAUAAAAUCUUCGUGGAAAAAGAUAUAGAAUGCGCAUGCAAAUCGAGAAACAUUAAAUGGAACUAAUAGAAGUCUUGUAACAUAGAAAUAAGGUCUAGUACUCAAAACAACCUAUCGGGUCGUCACACUCUCCACCUCUAAAGAAAACGUUCGUCCUCGAACGAAAAUAGAAAAAUACCUAGACUGGUGAAAAGGUGUGGGUAUCUAUUCCGCAUAUCAGACUCGGACUCCCACGUAGCUGCCUCGAUCGGCUGACCUCUCCACUACACUCUAACAGAAGGAUAACUCUUAGACCUCAACUUCUAAACCUGUCGUGCUAGAAUAGCCACCAACUCUUCCUCAUAAGUCAAAUCCUCUACCAAUUGGACUGAGAUGAAAUCUAAUACAUGGGACGGAUCGUUGUGACACUUUUGGAGCAUGGAAACAUGGAACACAGAGUGGAAUACCGAUAAUCUAGGUGGUAAUGCAAGUCUGUAAGCCACCUCACCAACUCUCUCAAGGAUCUCAAAGGGACGGAUAUACCUAGGGCUCAACUUGCCCUUCUUCCUGAACCUCAUCACACCAUUCAUAGGUGAAACCCACAGCAAAACCCUCUCUCCCAGCAUGAAUGCUACACCACAAACCCUCUGAUUAGCAUAACUCUUCAGCCUAGACUGGAGUACGAAGCCGAUCCUGAAUUAACUUGACUUUCUCCAAGGCAUCCCGAACCAAAUCAGUGCCCAACAACCCAACCUCUACCAGUUCAAACCAACCAACUGGAGAACAACAUUGCCUCCCAUAUAAGGCCUCAUGAGGAACCAUUUGAAUGCUCGAUUGGUAGAUGUUGUUGUAGGCAAACUCCACAAGCGGUAAGAACUGAUCCCGAUAACCCUCAAAGUUCAUAACAUAGGCAUGUAGCAUGUCCUCCAAGAUAUGAAUGUUGAGCUCGGACUGCCCAUCCGUCUGGGGUGAAAUAUUAUACUUAACUCAAUCCACGUACCUAAUUCACGCUGCACAACUCUCUAAAAUGGUGAUGUGAACUAUGUGCCUCGAUCGGAUAUAAUAAACACCGGCACGCCAUGAAGAUGCACAGUCUCCCAAAUAUAGAUUUGAGCCAGCUGCUCUGAAGAAUAGGUAGCCUCCACCAGAAUGAAAUGCAUCGACUUGGUCAAACAUCCAUAAUGACACACACUGCGUCAAAUUUCUUCAAUGUAUGUGGGAGCCCAACAAUGAUAUACAUGGUAAUAUGCUCCCAUUUCCACUCGGGAAUCUCAAGUCUCUAAAGCAAACCGCCAGGCUUCUAAUGCUCGUACUUUACCUGAUGGCAGUUCAAACACCAAGCCACACACUCUACUAUAUCUUUUGUUCAUUCUUCUAUACCAAUAAUGCUUCCUCAAAUCGUGAUACAUCUUGGCAACACUUAGAUGAAUGGAAUACAGCAAACUAUGGGCCUCCUCAAGAAUCAACUUACACAAUCCAUCCACACUGGGCACAUAUAUCCGAUCCUGUAUCCGCAACAUCCCAUCAUCUCCACUAGAAACAUCCUCGCCAUCACCGUACUGCACCAUAUCCUUAAGGACAAGCAAAUAAGGUCAUUAUACUGACACUUUCUGAUGUGCUCAUACAAAGAAGAAUGAGAAACCAUGCAAGCAAGAACCCAACUAGGCUCCAAAACAUCUACCUCACGAACUGAUUGGCCAAAGCCUGGACAUCUGAUGCUAGCGGUCUCUCACCAAUAGGAAUAUAUGCAAAGCUACCCAUACUCAUAGCCUUUCUACUCAAGGCAUCUGUCACCAUAUUGGCCUUCAUGCUAUAAUACAAAAUGGUGAUAUCAUAGUCUUUUAAAUGUUCUAACCACCUCCGCUACCUCAAAUUUAGAUCUUUUUGCUUAAACAAGUGUUGUAGACUCCGAUGAUCUGUGAAUACCUCACACGACAUGCCAUAGAGGUAAUGCCUCCAAGUCUUCAAUGCAUGAACAAUAGCUGCCAACUCUAAGUCAUGAACAUGUUAGUUCUUUUCAUGAGCCUUCAGCUGCCGAGACUCGUAGGCAAUCACCCUACCGUUUUGCAUCAAUACCGCGCCAAGUCCAAUAUGUGACGUAUCACAAUACACAGUGUAAGAUCCCAUACCCGUAGGCAACACUAAUACUGGAGAUGUCGUCAAAGUAGUCUUGAGCUUCUUAAAGCUCAACUCACACUCGUCAGGCCACCUGAAUAGGGUACCCUUUUGGGUCAAUCUAGUCAAUAGUGUUGCAAUAUAAGAGAACCCCUUCACAAAUUAGCGAUAAUAACCCGCCAAACCCAGGAAACUCCAAAUCUCUACAGCUGAAGUAGGUCUAGGCCAAUUUUGAACUACCUCAAUCUUCUUAGAAUCCACUUUAAUGCACUUGGAAGAUAUAAAAUGCCCCAAAAAGGCAACCGAAUCCAACAAAAACUCACACUUUGAAAACUUUGCAUAUAACUGACUAUCUCUCAAGUUCUGUAGUACAAUCUGCAGAUGCUGCUCAUGCUUCUCUAUACUAUGUGAGUAAACCAAAAUAUCUUCAAUGAAGACGAUCACAAAAGAAUCCAAAUAGGGCUUGAAUACUCGGUUCAUCAAAUUCAUAAAUGUUGUUGGGGCAUUUGUCAUGCCUCAUGACAUCACUAGGAACUCAUAAUGCACAUACUGAUUCUGAAAAGCUAUCUUAGGGACAUCUAAUGCCCUAAUCUUCAAUUGAUGGUAACUAGAUCUCAAAUAAAUCUUCAAAAAUAGAUUGGCACCCUAAAGUUGAUCAAAUAAACCAUCAAUAUUCAGCAAAGGAUACUUGUUCUUGAUAGUGACUUAGUUCAACUAAUGAUAAUCUAUACACAUCCUCAUCGAACCAUCUUUCUUCUUCAAAAACAACACUGGUGCACCCUAGGGCGACACACUAGGUUUGAUGAAUCCCUUAUCAAGCAAAUUCUGCAACUGCUCCUUCAGUUCCUUCAACUCAGCUGGAGCCAUACGGUAUGGUGGAAUAGAAAUGGGCUUAGUAGCCAGAGCCAAGUCAAUACAGAAGUCAUUACCUCUAGAAACCCAUGCAUAACUGGUACUGAAUCCAUGAAAGGAACCUCCGUACUGGAUGAGGGAUUUAGGCCAAAUAUGCUAGACAUCCCUUCUCGACCAUAUGUCAAGCCUUCACAUAAUAAAUAACCCUGCUAGUAGAAUGGCCAGGAGUCCCUCUUCACCAUAAUAGAGGCAACCCUGACAUGGAUAAGGUGACCCUAUUGGCGUGACAAUCUAAAAUAGCGUGAUAAGAUGAUAGCCAAUCCAUGCCCAAAAUAACAUCAAAGUCCACCAUAUCAAGAAGUAGGAGAUCUAUACUAGUCUCAAGGCCUCGGAUAGAAACCAUACACGAGCGAUAAACAAGAUCUACAAUAAUAGAAUCUCCCACAGACAUGGACACAUAUACAUGAGCACUCAAAGAAUCAUGAGGAAAAAUUAGAUAUGAAGAAAAAUAGGUUGACACAUAGCAAUAAGUAGAGCCUAUAUCAAAGAGAAUUGAGUCAUCUCUAUGGCAAACUAGAACAACAACUAUGAUGAUGACGUCAAAUGACUCUACCUGAAGUCUAGCUGGAAAUGCAUAAAAAUGUGUGGGCCCUACCACUCUAACCUCCGCCUCUCGGACGACCUCUAGAUGGCUGACCUCCACCUUUAAUGUCCUGAUCUCCACCUCUAGCAGAUUGACCCUUGCCUCUAGCUAGCUGAGCGGGUGAUGGAGCAACUAGUGCCAAAACCAUGGCACGAGAAUCUUGCUGUGGUGUAACGACCCGACCAGUCGUUUCAUGAGUUACCAUUCCGUUUCCCCCAUUUCUAAUUAUUUAUGUCUUGUUCAACUAUAUUAUGUUGCAUCGUGUUGGUUAGUUUGGAUUCAGAAAGGUUUUGUAGAGAAAUGAGACACUUAGUCUCUUAAGUUAGCCUUUUAGUUAAAAACAUCAAUCGGAAGUUGACUUGUGGGUAAACAACCUCAAAAUUUGAUUUAUUUAUUAUUUUUAUAGCUUUGGGAGGUGAUUUGGGACUUAAUAGUGUGAUCGGAAUGUGUUUUGGAGGUCCGGAGUAGAUUUAGGCUUGAAUUGACGAAAUUGGAAUUUUGGCGUUUUCCGGUUGAUAGGGGAGAUUUUGAAAUAGGGGUCAGAAUGGAAUUCCGGAAGUUGGAUUAGGUCCGUUGUGUCAUUUUUGUCGUGUGUGCAAAACUUUAGGUCAUUCGGACGAGGUUUGAUAGACUUUUUGAUCGAAAGUAAAAUUUGGAAGUUUUUGGAAUUCCUAGGCUUGAAUCCAAUGGUGAUUUGAUGUUUUGAUAUUGUUUUGAGUGUUCUGAAGGUUGGAACAAGUUCUAAUGAUGUUAUGGGAUAUGUUUGCAUGUUUGGUUGAGGUCCCGAGGGCCUUGGGUGAGUUUUGGGUGGUUAAACGAAUCAAAUUUUGUUGUAGGGAGUUGCAGAUUCUGCUGUUGGUGUUGUAGAGUUUUUGCCUUCACGUUCGUGAGAGGGCUCUCGUGUUCGCGAAGGGAUGAGAAGUGAGGUAGUCAAUUUAACCUUCAUGUUGGCGAUGUUGGUCCCAUGUUCGCGAAGGGUGAGGUUUAGUAUGCUACUCGAACGCGAUGAGGUUCCCUUGUUCAUGUAGAGUAAAUAGGAGUAGCUGGGGUCCUGAUCAUUUGUGCUUUGCGUUUGCAUUAAGGAGGUCACGUUCGCGAUGGUCUGGAAAGCAGAAGCUUCGCGUUCGCGAGCUGGAGGUUGCAUUCGUGAGCUGGAUGUCGCCUUCGCGUAAGAGGGAUUUAUGGUCAACGAGUUUUUGUGCUUCGCGAAUGCGAGGCAUUGACCGCGUUCGCGAAGAAGGAAAGGGUCACCUGGGAAGAAUGUUUAAAUAGCCAGUGUUCGCGAUUUUGGGUCUAACUUCCAACAUUUUUGAGCGAUUUUUGAGCUUUUUGAGAAGGAUUGAAGAGGGAAACACUUGGAGGUAAGACUUUUGGACUCAAUACUCGUUCCUAUUGUGAUUUCUACCUACUUAAACAUGAAAUUUGUGGAAUCUAAAGUCUAAGAUUGGGGAGUUAGAGCUUGAAAUUGGAGACUUUGAUUUGAGGAUUUGAGGGGUCGUUUGUGGUCGGAUUUUGAUGUAUUUGAUGUCGCGCCCCCUUUUUGCUCCUUUUUUUUAUAGGGAGAAGUCCGGGUUUUGACAUUCAUGGGGUGUAAUGACUCAUUUCCUUUUGGGGAUUGGGUAUUUGAAGAGUCGCCACCUAACGGAUUAUGGUGUGUUAGGGCACCUAGAGCAAUCAACUCUUGGGUUGGUUUGCAUUACCAGAUAUUAGGAUAAAGACUCGAAUUAACCUCAAGGGGAAGGUGUUAGGCAUCCCUCUUGGUCCAAAAUUAUAGGUCCCGGCUGAACUUAUAUUCACAAAUUAGUCCAUUACAAGUAAACAAUUGAAUCAAAUAGGUUGCAAGUAAAGCACAUUAGAACAACUCAAGUAGUAAGAUAAAUGUUUGGACAAGUUGUAAAAUAAAGGAUUGAAUAAAGAAAGAAUUUGGUAAAGAGGGGUCCUAGGUUGGUUAUCCUAUCGGAUCACCCCCACACAAUGUCCGGUAAACACUCCUCAAUGAGGGGCUACACGUGACAUUAGCACGUAGUCAUCAUAUCCCAUAUCUACCCUUGCCCAUCCCCUUAUUGGUCAUGGUAAGCGAGUGUUUGGUCAACGCUUUCUAUUGCGUGCUGCUACCUAUCCUUAUUAAUGGUCAUGGAGGGAGUUAGGACCUCUACAUAUAGGUAGUUCUAGACGUACCCCUAAGGUUUUAAAAUGCAAAAAUUCUAAGGCGACAAUCAAAAACACUUAGGACUUUCAACACAAAGAAGGAGCAAUUAGAGGCUCAGAAAUUCCUCCUCAAACGAACACAUAAGUAGCACAACUCAAGCACAGUUAAGGUCUUUUAUUAGACAAUGUCCUAAAACAGGAUAUCUAAGUGAAUAUGCAGAAGACAAACAACCUCGUUUAGACUUAGAAGUUAUAACCUAGCAGUUGCCUAUGGACUCUUUUUAAAGCCUGUUAGGAUCAGAAAACAUUGAGCAAUAGAAACAGUUUUAGAAAUGCAAUUUUAAAAACGCCCUAAAGGCUUGCCUAUACGUAGAAUACUUAUGUCUAUAUCAAUGCAGAAACAAAGUAGGUUUUGGAAAUGGACUCCUUUAAUACCUAUAAGCAUGAUAUCUAAUGAGAUUGAGGCAGUUUGAAAGAACUUGUUUCAGGAAAUAUUUAAUACUUAAUAAAACCAAUUUAGAAAUGAACUAGGCAUGAUCAAGUUGAUUAUUAGACUAAAUUAGAUUAACAGACAUAAUUGCGAGUAAGGCUCCCUGUAGACAUGAUAUCUAGGCGUAAUACUGGUUUUAACGGUUUGCAGGCAUGGAAACAUACAUAAAUACUCGUUGUAACAAAAUCUAGAUUAGGUCCUAUAGGCAUGGCAUCUAUUAUUAAUCUGAUUUUAAGACAUGAUCGUUUGGAACCUAUAAGCAUGGUUUCUAAACAUGGAAAAAUGUAAAACCUUAUAGACAUGGUUUCUACUUGAUGAGGCACUCAAAUUUAAGCAAGAAGUCCUAAGAGCAUGAUUUCUAUUGGAAAACAAUCAGAUUUAAAUAUGAAGCCCUAGGAGCAUGAUUUCUACUUAGUAGAGCAAAUAGAUUUAAAAGCAAAGUCCUAUGAGCAUGAUUUCUACCCGAAUUACCCCAUAAAACAUGUAUCUACCCACCCGUUUCACUAAAUACCCCAAUAUCUAUUUACAAAUUAUUACAGGACAAUGAAUGAAUAAGUAAAAAAUAGAAAAUCAAGAAGCUAUUCUAUAGGGAGCCUUCAAUAAAGGCCCAGAUUUCCCAAAGCCUCCAAUGGUCUCAUAUGCCUCAAUUCCAUAGAUAAAUCAAAGUCUAGGUGCAUCAAAGUUCCCUAAAGAUCUCAAGGAUCCCGGGCAAUGCUUUCACCUAGAUUUAGUAAUCAAAGAUUGAAUAAGUGCAGUAUGGAAAGGCCAACCUUAGUAUGCCAGAUUUCAGAGGGUUCUCAAAAGGAUCCCAAAGCAGUAUACAUACUAGAGGGAGCAGAACUUAUUGACUAAGAGUAGAGUGAAAAGUGAUGGACACAAGUUGAAAGGUUUUAGUAAGAAACUGUAUUUAACAAAAGAUCUCUUUUGAAAGUAAUUUAUUAAAGCAACAGAGAUUGUUUGAAAAAGAGAUUGGAGUAGUUAACAAAGUCCAAACACCUUAGGAUAGGUUCAUGCACAACCAGGAGUCCAUGCAUCCAUGCAUGUUUGGUAGUCACAAACAGGGGUAAAGGGGGUUUGGGAAUACAUAGGACACACAUAGUUAAGCAAAGACCUAGGAAUUAGUAGUCAUGCCCAGAAGUAGCUAGCUAGACAUAGUUACAGAAUCAGAUAUAAAGAACAGACUCACAUGCAAGGGAAUAGGGAUUUGGGAGAUCCAUGGUGGUAACCAUAUAACAAGUAAGACAUGAUUAGUGUAGACAUGCUCAGAAACAAACAGAAGGGGAAAUAUACUAAUCUCAAGGGGAGGGGAAGACAUGGUAACAUGCUAACAAUGUAACCCUCAACUACAAGUUUCACAACAGAACCACAAAUAGAAGCAAACCAGAAAUAAGAUGAACUAAAACAAUAAUAGAAUCAUAUUGUUGUUGGAGCUUUGAAUUGAAACUAGGACAUACCAGUAAAGAGGAUAGUGAGCAGAAACACAAAUGGUUAGCCUUGGCUUACAACCGGCUAACUUAGAGUAGUAGCAAGUAGCACAAGAGCGAGAGCAGAGCUUUUUUUAAGUAUGAGAGAUAGUUUUGAACCCAAGAGUUCGUGUCCUAUGUGUAUUAAUGAGAGAGACUAUACAUAGUCUGAAACUAGGCAGAAUAAUAAGGUAGGAAUCAAAGUCAAGCAGUAGUUAUGGAACUAGGUAUCAAUUAGUCUAAAAUUAAUAGAAGUACUCCCUUAAUUAAGGGAUUUAACUUCAAAUGGUAAAGAUAGAUAAGGAAAGAGAUUACAUAAGACAUGGAAUAUAACACAUAAGAAAAUAAUUUCAGCAUAGUGCAAAUAUAGAACAUGCAAAUAAGGCUAGGUACAUAAUAUUCCUAUUAAGAAAACAACAUAAGAGUCAGUUGACAGUAUAAUCGACCAUGAAAUAAGGCAAGAAAAAUGACAAGAGAUUAGAAGGAUAUCAAUCAUAGGGAAUCAAGGAUUCCGAUGGACAAUAGCACUGAUUUAGGGGAAAUUACCACAAAUUCCUAUGAACAAACAGAAUAAACACAUAAUAGGCAAGAGGCAAAAUCAGAAACCCUAAUAGCAUAGUAGGGUAAAAAUUACACAAAAUCAGGGAUUUGCAUAGAACAUAGCACUGAUUAGAGGAGUUAACAGAAUAGGCAUAGUAUAGGCGGGAGAAGUAAAAAUUAGAAACCCUAAUGGGUAUAGUAGGGUAAAAAAUCACACAAAACUCAGGGAUUCAUGAGAAACAAGCAAGCAUAUAGAUUAGAUGAACCAAUCGUCAAAUACAGACUCAGAACCCAGGGUUAAGACCAAGAACUGAGGUUUUCAGCAUAGACGAGUUGAAAAAGGAGAAAAACACAGAAUCAGUCGAGAUAUGCAAAGGAAAGAGGUUUAAACAUGAAGAAUCGAUUUAAUAGAGUGUAGAAAAAGUUCUAAAAACCUUAACUUUUAAAACAACUCGCAACCAAUGAUUUUUUGCAAAAGAGAUUUGAGAAUAGUGUAAAACAUAGAAAGAAAUAAACUCGAAUCGUUAAAAAUAGCACAAAUCUAAGCGAUACAAAUGAAAGUUAGGGUUUCACUGGAAACCCAAAUAGAAACGGAAGAACUUGCUAUAAACUUCAAAAAUCGUAACAAAUGUAGCAUGAGUUUGCUCAAAAUCACACCGAAGAAACCAUGAACAGCCAAAGUAGUAACCCUAGAUACAUAUCGGCAUGGCCCAGGGCCCUUGAAGGCCGCAGAGAUGAUGAGCAAGGUGAUGGAGAAACCAUUGGAGGAUUGGGGUUGAAAGGUGGUCACCGGAGAGGACCGGAGAAGGAGGUGGUGGUUGAAGAAGGAUUAGGGUUAGGUUGACGGAAGAGAGGAGACCAGAGGAUUCAAAGGCGACAGGGGUUUGGAAAUGAGGUAGGGUUAGGUGGUCUUUUGAAUUAAAAAAGGAAAGGGGUCGUGUGGACCGUUGAUCUAGGAGAUCAAUGACCAGGAUUUGACCGGGUAGAUGGGUUCCGGGUUUGGGUAGGUGUAUAGAGUUUGGGUCAGGUUAAUUGGGUAUGAAAUUGGGCUGGGGAGUGGGUUCAAUUUGGGAUACAAUUGAAAGCCAAAUUGGGCUAUAAUUUAAAUAGCCAUUGUUUCCUACUUAAUUUAUAAUAAAUAAUAAAUAGUUUUCUCAAAAUAAUUUUUCUAUACCAAGAUGAUUUAAAAUAUGUAAUUACCAUUUUAAAAAUAUUGGGACCAAUUUACACACAUAAAAAAUGUAAUUAUACACUUAAUGGGCUAAUAUUGCAAUUAUAUGCAAUUUAGCUUUUAAAAUACCAAAUGCAAUUAUAAAAUUGCAUAAAAAUUAUAGUGCCCAUAUUUUGGUGUAAGUAUAGAAAUUAAACGAACAAAGCAUCACAACGAUAAUUUGGAAAAUAAUUAUUAGGGAUUUUAUGAGUAAAAGGGAAGAAAAUAAAUCAAUUGAAACCCUUAAAAUUAUGUCAAAAAUUAUAAAAACCUUGUGCAUUCUNNNNNNNNNNNNNNNNNNNNGGAAAAUUUGGUAUCAAUAUUUGAUAUGUAUGAACUUGUGGGAGUGUAAGGAUUCUAGUAUAGGAAUUCGAGACGUGGGCCCAAGGGUCGAGUUUGGCCAAUUUCGGGAUUUUUAUGUAAAUUGGUUAUUUUUGAGUGGGAUUUAUUCCCUUAGCAUAUUUGGAUGGUAUAAAUCUGUUAUGGGUUAGAUUUGGAGCAUCCGGAGGUCGAGUUAAGA
rnacentral:lncRNA from 1 species